AUUGAACGCUGGCGGCAGGCUUAACACAUGCAAGUCGAGCGGUAGCACAGGGGAGCUUGCUCCCUGGGUGACGAGCGGCGGACGGGUGAGUAGUGUCUGGGAAACUGCCUGAUGGAGGGGGAUAACUACUGGAAACGGUAGCUAAUACCGCAUAACGUCGCAAGACCAAAGAGGGGGACCUUCGGGCCUCUUGCCAUCAGAUGUGCCCAGAUGGGAUUAGCUAGUAGGUGGGGUAAUGGCUCACCUAGGCGACGAUCCCUAGCUGGUCUGAGAGGAUGACCAGCCACACUGGAACUGAGACACGGUCCAGACUCCUACGGGAGGCAGCAGUGGGGAAUAUUGGACAAUGGGCGCAAGCCUGAUGCAGCCGUGCCGCGUGUGUGAAGAAGGCCUUCGGGUUGUAAAGCACUUUCAGCGAGGAGGAAGGUGGUGAGCUUAAUACGUUCAUCAAUUGACGUUACUCGCAGAAGAAGCACCGGCUAACUACGUG
rnacentral:rRNA from 1 species